rnacentral:rRNA from 1 species
UACGAGUGCCUCAAGCGUUAUUCGGAAUCACUGGGCUUAAAGGGUGCGUAGGCUGCGCAGUAAGUUGGGUGUGAAAUACCUCGGCUCAACCGAGGAACUGCGCCCAAAACUACUGUGCUCGAGGGAGACAGAGGUGAGCGGAACUUAGGGUGGAGCGGUGAAAUGCGUUGAUAUCCUAAGGAACACCCGUGGCGAAAGCGGCUCACUGGGUCUCUUCUGACGCUGAGGCACGAAAGCUAGGGUAGCGAACGGG